rnacentral:misc_RNA from 1 species
AAGUCGUAACAAGGUUUCCGUAGGUGAACCUGCGGAAGGAUCAUUAUUGAAUGAACUUGAUGUAGUUGUCGCUGACCCUCUUGGGGGUAUGUGCACGCUCAUCAUCUUUAUCUCUCCACCUGUGCACCUUUUGUAGACUUGGAUAGUUAAUUUUCUGAGGCAACUCAGUCUUGAGGAUUGCUGUGUUGUUAAAGCCAGCUUUCUUUGUAUAUCCAGGCCUAUGUUUUCAUAUACUCCAAUGAAUGUAAUAGAAUGUAUCAAUGGGCUUUGUGCCUAUAAACUAUAUACAACUUUCAGCAA